AAACCAUGAUGAGGACAUUUGAUAAGGAGAUUUUUAAAGGGGUCCCAACUCUCAUAAAACAAUUCAUUCUCCUCCUGAGAAAAAUCAGCAAUUUCCCUACAAAGAUC